rnacentral:rRNA from 1 species
AUGAGCUGUGGAUAGGGGUGAAAGGCCAAUCAAACUUCGUGAUAGCUGGUUCUCUCCGAAAUGCAUUUAGGUGCAGCGUUGCGUGUUUCUUGCCGGAGGUAGAGCUACUGGAUGGCCGAUGGGCCCUAAAAGGUUACUGACGUCAGCCAAACUCCGAAUGCCGGUAAGUAAGAGCGCAGCAGUGAGACGGUGGGGGAUAAGCUUCAUCGUCGAGAGGGAAACAACCCAGACUACCGACUAAGGUCCCAAAGCGUGUGCUAAGUGGAAAAGGAUGUGGAGUUGCAUAGACAACCAGGAGGUUGGCUUAGAAGCAGCCACCCUUGAAAGAGUGCGUAAUAGCUCACUGGUCAAGUGAUUCCGCGCCGACAAUGUAACGGGGCUCAAGCACACCACCGAAGUCGUAGCAUUCAAACUAUAGGUAGGCCUUCGUGGUCCAGCCGUGUGAAUGGGUAGGAGAGCGUCGUGUGGCGAGCGAAGCGGCGGAGUGAUCCAGCCGUGGACGCCACACGAGUGAGAAUGCAGGCAUGAGUAGCGAAAGACGGGUGAGAAACCCGUCCUCCGGAAGACCAAGGGUUCCAGGGCCAGGCUAAUCCGCCCUGGGUAAGUCGGGACCUAAGACGAGGCCGACAGGCGUAGUCGAUGGACAACGGGUUGAUAUUCCCGUACCCGCGAAGAACCGCAAGAGCUAAACCAGUAAUGCUAAGAGUCCGAAUUCUCUUUCUGAUCCCUUCGGGGUGAGGAUUGAGAGCUAGCACUCGACCCUAUGCUGGCGCGGCUAGCGUAUUAACAGGUGUGACGCAGGAAGGUAGCUGAGCCGGGCGAUGGUUGUCCCGGUGUAAGGAUGUAGGGCGAGGAAUAGGCAAAUCCGUUCCUCACGAAGCCUGAGAUCCGACGCGUACCCCUCACGGGGGAAAUCAGUGAUCCUAUGCUGCCAAGAAAAGCAUCGACGCGAGGUUCUAGUGGCCCGUACCCCAAACCGACUCAGGUGGUCAGGUAGAGAAUACUAAGGAGAUCGAGAGAAUCGUGGUUAAGGAACUCGGCAAAAUGCCCCCGUAACUUCGGGAGAAGGGGGGCCGGAUUGGUGAAGGGAUUUACUCCUGGAGCUAUGAAGGCCGCAGAGACCAGUGGGAAGCGACUGUUUACUAAAAACACAGGUCCGUGCUAAGUCGCAAGACGAUGUAUACGGACUGACGCCUGCCCGGUGCUGGAAGGUUAAGAGGAGCGGUUAGCACUUGUGCAAAGCUGCGAAUUUAAGCCCCAGUAAACGGCGGUGGUAACUAUAACCAUCCUAAGGUAGCGAAAUUCCUUGUCGGGUAAGUUCCGACCUGCACGAAUGGCGUAACGACUUCCCAGCUGUCUCAACCGCGAACUCGGCGAAAUUGCACUACGAGUAAAGAUGCUCGUUACGCGCAGCAGGACGGAAAGACCCCGUGACCUUUACUACAGCUUUGUAUUGGUGUUCGGUGUGGCUUGUGUAGGAUAGGUGGGAGACUUUGAAGCGGACACGCCAGUGUUUGUGGAGUCAUUGUUGAAAUACCACUCUGGUCACUCUGGAUAUCUAACUUCGAACCGUAAUCCGGUUCAGGGACAGUGCAUGGUGGGUAGUUUAACUGGGGCGGUUGCCUCCCAAAAAGUAACGGAGGCGCCCAAAGGUUCCCUCAGCCUGGUUGGCAAUCAGGUGGCGAGUGUAAGUGCACAAGGGAGCUUGACUGUGAGACUGACAGGUCGAGCAGGGACGAAAGUCGGGACUAGUGAUCCGGCAGUGGCUUGUGGAAGCGCUGUCGCUCAACGGAUAAAAGGUACCUCGGGGAUAACAGGCUGAUCUUGCCCAAGAGUCCAUAUCGACGGCAUGGUUUGGCACCUCGAUGUCGGCUCGUCGCAUCCUGGGGCUGGAGUAGGUCCCAAGGGUUGGGCUGUUCGCCCAUUAAAGCGGUACGCGAGCUGGGUUUAGAACGUCGUGAGACAGUUCGGUCCCUAUCCGCUGCGCGCGUUGGAAAUUUGAGAGGAUCUGACCCUAGUACGAGAGGACCGGGUUGGACGAACCUCUGGUGUGUCAGUUGUCCUGCCAAGGGCACCGCUGAUUAGCUACGUUCGGGAUGGAUAACCGCUGAAAGCAUCUAAGCGGGAAGCCGGCCUCAAGAUGAGAUUUCCAUGCCCUUCGGGGCGAGAGGCUCCCAGUAGACGACUGGGUUGAUAGGCCGGAUGUGGAAGUGGGGACUAAAGACCCAUGAAGCUGACCGGUACUAAUAAGCCGAUAAUUUGACACC